rnacentral:lncRNA from 1 species
AUUCCGUGGACAGCCAGCUGGGCUGAUGGCAGGCGUGGGAGCUUCCCUAAUGCCUCUGUGGCCUUGGAAGAACAGAGCCAAGUGCCUCAGCUAGAAACUUGGAUUUCAGCUGGGGGUGGUGGUAUAGAGAGAACUCAAAGGAAAUGAACCCCUCUGAGAAGCACUCACUCUAAGAGACACCAGUGUCUCAACUCUUGGGCGUUCCCAGUGGGCCAGCCAGACCU